rnacentral:rRNA from 1 species
GAUGAACGCUGGCGGCGUGCCUAAUACAUGCAAGUCGAGCGAACAGAUGAGUAGCUUGCUCCUCUGACGUUAGCGGCGGACGUGUGAGUAACACGUGGUUAACCUACCUAUAAGACUGGGAUCACUUCGGGAAACCGGAGCUAAUACCGGAUUAUAUAUUGAACCUCAUGGUUCAAUAGUUUAAGACGGUUUUGCUGUCACUUAUAGAUUGUUCCGCGCCUCAUUAGCUAGUUGGUAAGGUAACGGCUUACCAAGGCAACGAUGCGUAGCCGACCUGAGAGGGGGAUGGGCGACACUGGAACUGAGACACGGUACAGACUCCGACGGGAGGCAGCAGUAGGGAAUCUUCCGAGAUGGGCGAAAGACUGAAGGAGCAACGCCGCGUGAGUGAUGAAGGUCUUCGGAUCGUAAAACUCUGUUAGUAGGGAAGAACAAAUGUGUAAGUAACGAUGCACGUCUUGACGGUACCAAAUCAGAAAGCAACGGCUAACUACGUG